ACCCGCACAAGCGAUGGAUGAUGUGGUUAAUUCGAUGCAACGCGAAAACCUUACCACCUUUGACAUGUACGGAAUCCUUUAGAGAUAGAGGAGUGCUCGAAAGAGAGCCGUAACACAGGUGCUGCAUGGCUGUCGUCAGCUCGUGUCGUGAGAUGUUGGGUUAAGUCCCGCAACGAGCGCAACCCUUGUCAUUAGUUGCUACAUUCAGUUGGGCACUCUAAUGAGACUGCCGGUGACAAACCGGAGGAAGGUGGGGAUGACGUCAAGUCCUCAUGGCCCUUAUAGGUGGGGCUACACACGUCAUACAAUGGAUGGUACAAAGGGUCGCCAACCCGCGAGGGGGAGCCAAUCCCAUAAAGCCAUUCGUAGUCCGGAUCGCAGUUUGCAACUCGACUGCGUGAAGUCGGAAUCGCUAGUAAUCGUGGAUCAGAAUGUCACGGUGAAUACGUUCCCGGGCCUU
rnacentral:rRNA from 1 species